rnacentral:rRNA from 1 species
CCUACGGGUGGCAGCAGUGGGGAAUAUUGCGCAAUGGGCGAAAGCCUGACGCAGCGACGCCGCGUGAGGGAUGAAGGACUUCGGAUCGUAAACCUCUGUCAGCAGGGAAGAACGGUCACUGUGCUAAUCAGCAGUGAAUUGACGGUCCCUGCAAAGGAAGCACCGGCUAACUCCGUGCCAGCAGCCGCGGUAAUACGGAGGGGGCGAGCGUUAAUCGGAAUUACUGGGCGUAAAGCGAUCGUAGGCGGUAUGGCAAGUCAAAGGUGAAAUCCCCGGGCUCAACGGGGGAACUGCCUUUGAAACUGGAUAACUUGAGUAUGGGAGAGGAUAGUGGAAUUCCAGGUGUAGGGGUGAAAUGCGUAGAUAUCUGGAGGAACAUCAGUGGCGAAGGCGGCUAUCUGG